rnacentral:rRNA from 1 species
UACGAAGGGGGCUAGCGUUGCUCGGAAUUACUGGGCGUAAAGCGCACGUAGGCGGCUUUCUAAGUCGGGGGUGAAAUCCUGGAGCUCAACUCCAGAACUGCCUUCGAUACUGGCGAUCUUGAGUCCGGAAGAGGUGAGUGGAACUCCUAGUGUAGAGGUGGAAUUCGUAGAUAUUCGGAAGAACACCAGUGGCGAAGGCGACGCACUGGACACGUAUUGACGCUGAGGUGCGAAAGCGUGGGGAGCAAACAGG